CAACAGAGUUGCGGGGGCUCUCAGGAAGCUUGGGAGCCCUCCUCUGC
rfam:Hepatitis C virus isolate NE274, complete genome